rnacentral:rRNA from 1 species
UACGUAGGGCGCAAGCGUUAUCCGGAAUUAUUGGGCGUAAAGAGCUCGUAGGCGGUUUGUCGCGUCUGCCGUGAAAGUCCGGGGCUCAACUCCGGAUCUGCGGUGGGUACGGGCAGACUAGAGUGAUGUAGGGGAGACUGGAAUUCCUGGUGUAGCGGUGAAAUGCGUAGAUAUCGGGAGGAACACCAGUGGCGAAGGCGGUUAGCUGGCCUGUAACUGACACUGAGGCGCGAAAGCGUGGGGAGCGAACAGG